ACCCAGGCGACCAGCCGGCCUACUGCCCGGCGCUCGCCCAGAACGCGCGGUGAGCCUCCGCAGACCCUGGGCGCGCCUCCCAGCCCGGGCGGGGAUUUGGCCCGGAGCCCCUGAGAGGUCGGGGAUGGUGACCCCGGGGAAGCCCCGCCCCUUCUUUGCUCCUCUUUCCGCAAACUGCGAGGACGGGAGUGGAGGGAACCUAGCCAAAGUGCACGCCCCGCGGGCCGGCCUGGGCGUGUAUGAUCGUAACCCUGCUUCCGCCAGGAAAGCCGCGGGGCCGGCGGCUGGAGGGCCCUGGGCGGUGGCUGAGGGGGCGGGCGGCCCGGGCGGCGCCGCGUCUCCGUCCUUAUAAGGGAUUCAAGUCAGCCCAGCCAUGUGGAAUGUGGCGGGGACCGGGAGGCGGUGCUGGGACGCCCCCUGCUCGCGGAUUCCGGCGGGGGAAGGGGGGGCAGAGCCCGGACGCCAGGUCCCAGGAGGAGAAGCCUGCACGUUCGAAUUUCUGGGUCCUUCAAAAUGUGAGUUCUGGGCCCCCAUAAGGUGGGCCGGGAGCCUGGACCCCCCCAAGAGGGUCUCUAAGAGAGGAGUGGCUGUGUACCCGGACCCCUGGGUUCGCCUUGCGGACGCCUCCCGCCCCGCGGCGGGAAACUGUGCACAGUGUUGGAAUCCAGUCCAGAGAGAGUGGCCACACCUCCCAGCACCUCCCGUAAGGCUGGUCUCCUGGCUACAGCUGGACCUCCCGGGCCACCUCCCGCUUCCCCCGACCCGUUAGGAGGAAGUUGGGACAGGCCCAGGAGGCAGAGGGCGGGCCACAGUCAGUUAAGUCUCCCCUGGAAGGUAAGUUAGCGCACGGACCACCCGGAGGGGAGGGGUCCGUCUCCACUCUCCGAGCCCCCAGCCGUCGCCUGAGGUCAGAGCUCAGGAAUGAACUGCCAGAGACCCGAGGAGGGAGAGGAAAACACCCUUUGGCUUCCUGGAGACGCUGAGGACUUCGCUAGCCACGCCCCAGUCCUCUCCCCACCUUCAGGCCAAACACCACACCCCAUCACUCCGCAAACUCAGAAGCGCGCCCUGAGCCCCAGCCUGUGCUCUCAGCACCAAGGGGCCCAGCUCCAUCUUCACUUUGGGACCACGGGUGCUAAAGCUCCGUCUCUGGCCUUUUGAGUCUAAAGUUCGGAUUCUGCCCCCUGGAUGGGGAGGAGGGACUGAAGACAUUUGGAAUCCCUCUGCACCCAAGAAUCCUGGACGCUGCUCCCACUCUCGGGGGUUCCCGCAGCCUCACCUUACGGGCCUGUGGCGGCUGCGGCUGGAGCAGAGGCGACAGCUGCAGGCUAGGAGGGUCUGCGGUCUGGGUGCGGUUGGAGGGCCGGGGAGUGAGCGCGGGCAGGGCUGGGGGCGGGGCCGGAACUCUGGGCUGGAGCCGAGUAAGGGUCUCCCCCUGCCAGGGCUAUCCCAGUCCCGCCCCGAGGGCGGGGCCAAGGUAAGACCACCUCCCCAGAGAUGAUAAAUUCACAGCCUCUCUCCCGCCCCGCCAGCGGUAGGGGUGGAGGGCUGAGGUCACUGUUUCCGUGGUGAGAAAACAGGAAGACACAACAGCUGGCGGAGUGGAGGCUCCUGGGGGGUGCCCUCCUCGACACAGCACUGGAGAAGUCUCCAGGGCAGGCCUGGGGAAGGCCGUUGCCAUGGCAACCCGUCUGUUUAGACUUUGUUUACGACAGAGCCCCCCAGCUCAGGUCCCCACCCCAGUCUCACCUCAAUCCGUUCUUCCUCUCCCUUCCUGGCCCCUCCCUCCUCCUCUGCUUCGGCCCUGCUCUUCCAGGAUGGACGAAAUUUUGGACAUCUAGGUCGCGGUGGGUUGGGGGGACUGGGCCUCUCAAUUUAAUGGGGUCUGUUUGCUAGGGUCUGUGUCUCCUGGGUCCCUGAAAUACGAAAGAGUUGAGGGUGUGCCGAUCCCUAGGCUUUAGGGGGUUUCUGGGCUGAGGUCCCUGACUCCUGGGUCCCCAAAAGAACAGUGGUUGGAUUCCUGUAAGUAAGGAAUUUGAGGGAGGAGCAAAAUGGGUCUCCUAAUCCUCAUUUACACCGGGAUUCGCGGUGUAAGGGACUGAUGGGCCGGACCCCUAGGUCCCAUAUGUCCCUGUCGAUGGGGGCAGGGGAGGGGGGGUUGUUGGUAGCAGGACUUCUGAGAUCGAGGCCAUAGGAGUUGGGGGCAUGGACUCCCCGGCCGCGGGCCCAGAAUCUUGGCUCAAAAGAGCAAUUGCGGCUCAGGCUCCUGGGUUUUCGGAGCAGAUGUGUUUGCUAGCCAAGCCUCUUGGGUCUGGAAGGGAGAGAUAUUUUUGGCUUGCAAUUCUGGCUCCUGGAAAGAGGGAGGGGCUCAGAAGCUUAAAGAGGACGAGGCUGGGGGCUGGGGGUGCCAGAUUCCUGGUUCCUGCAAGAGGGGAGGGCCCAUGGGGCUGGUCUGCCCGGGCCCCAGAGCACGGGGGUCCUUUUUUAGGGGCAGCUCUGAAGCCCUGAGACGGAUUGACAGAGCCAAGAAGCAAGCGGGCGCUGAAGGUCGGAUGCACUGCCCGGGGCUGGGGUGGGGCGGGGACCGGGACGCCCGGGUCCCUCCCUGCUGGCCGGGCUCACUCACCGCGCUCUGCAGUCGUCCCCGGCGCGGCCUUGCUCUAGGCUGCCGCUGGGCGGGGCCUCGUGGCGGCUGCGGAGGCUCGGCGACCGGCAGCUGCCGGCGUUGCUACUGCUGGGUGUCUUCCAGGCCGACUACUGAGAAGGCUUUGAGGCCGAGCCCCAGAGUGGAAGACUCUCGCGUCGCGAAGGGAGGGGUCCGAAGGGAUGCGGGAGCUCUGUGUCCCCGGAUGCGUGCCCUACGGAGGAGAGCGACCCAGCCCCAAAGAUGCUGUCUCCAACCUGGCACUGAAACCCAGUCUCAAACAGGACGUGCCUCUGUUCUAUGAGAGUAGCUGCUUUCGGGUGAUCAAGUACACGGCCCCACCCCCUAACUUCCUAAUAAACUGGGUUCCCUGAUCAGAA